AUUCUUUUGUACUUCAUCUACAUGAUGAUGGGGUCUUCACGCUCUUGUGUGAGAUGUGGCUCCCUCAAACCGUGUGAGGACCAGCACACCACCUUCUUGACA